GACGAACGCUGGCGGCGUGCUUAACACAUGCAAGUCGAACGGAAAGGCCCCUUUGGGGGUCCUCGAGUGGCGAACGGGUGAGUAACACGUGAGUAACCUGCCCUUGACUUCGGGAUAACUACAGGAAACUGGGGCUAAUACCGGAUAGGAAUCCUUGCUGCAUGGUGGGGGUUGGAAAGCUUCGGCGGUUUUGGAUGGACUCGCGGCUUAUCAGCUUGUUGGUGGGGUAGUGGCUUACCAAGGCUUUGACGGGUAGCCGGCCUGAGAGGGCGACCGGCCACAUUGGGACUGAGAUACGGCCCAGACUCCUACGGGAGGCAGCAGUGGGGAAUAUUGCACAAUGGGCGGAAGCCUGAUGCAGCAACGCCGCGUGCGGGAUGACGGCCUUCGGGUUGUAAACCGCUUUCAGCAGGGGCGAAGCUUGUGGUGACGGUACCUGCAGAAGAAGCACCGGCUAACUACGUG
rnacentral:rRNA from 1 species